rnacentral:misc_RNA from 1 species
AGAAAAAGUUGAUAACCCUUUAGACUUUUCUAGAGUCUUGAAAGCUGCAUUUCAGAGCCGGGGAAAUGACACAUCAAAGUUCAAUGUUUCUCAUUUGAUCAUAACAAUACACAUAUAUUAUCACAAUUUGAUAAGUGGAGAGAACUUGUACAGCAAGCUUUCUCUUGUUGAUCUGGCUGGAAGUGAUGGUUUAAUUACAGAAGACGAUAGUGGGGAGCGUGUGACAGUGCUGCAUGUGAUGAAAUCACUUUCAGCGUUGGGAGAUGUUUUGUCUUCUUUGACUUCAAGGAAGGAUGUUAUUCCUUAUGAAAAUUCAAUGCUCAC